rnacentral:lncRNA from 1 species
AAAUCCCUGAGUGUUAGUGUUUUGUUGUGUUCCCAAUCUAAAAUCCCCGAAGAUUGUCCAUCCUUCAUGCUCACCUGCACUGUCGUGCUCAUCGCUACACUGUUGCUGUUGGGACUCGAUAUGUGAAUAAUAUGGCUGGGAUAGGGCGGCCUCAUAAUCAUCAUCUCUCUCAUUUUCUCUUUGAAUAAUAUGGAAUUAAAAAAAAAAAAAACAAAUUUUCAAAAAAAUCAAUCAUGGAUUAAAAAAAAAAAAUCACAAAUUUUCAAAAAAUUCUAUCAUGGAUUACAAAAAAAAAUUUGAUCAUGGAUUAAAAAAAAAAAAUCACAAAUUUUCCAAAAAUUCUAUCAUGGAUUACAAAAAAAAAU